UUGUGGCUCAGCUGCAGUUGUAUCCAUGAGAAUGCAGGUUCAAUCCCUGGCCUUGCUCAGUGGGUAGAGGAUCUGCCAACACCAUAUCUAGUUGCUAAACAGAACGUCUCAUGGUGAUUGCUAAUACUUAUGGAACAUUUACUUUAUGCCAGAUGUCAUUUUAACAAUUUUACCUUUAAUCUACAUGGAGACUCUAUGAGGUAGAUACUAAUACUGUCAUUUUAUGGAUGAAAGAGUUGAGGAAUGGAGAAACCCAAAGCAAAUUCACCCAGGUUGGAGAAGGUAGAACCAGGACUGAACAUGGGUGGUUAGCCACUGGUACCUGUACUCUUAACCACCAUGUUAACAAUUCUUGGGAAAUCAGCUGCUCAGAUGAUAGAAUCUGGAUUUGGACUUCUUUUUUUUUUUUUUUUUUUUUUUUUUUUGUCUUUUUGCUAUUUCUUGGGCCGCUCCCACGGCAUAUGGAGAUUCCCAGGCUAGGGGUCUAAUCGUAGCCGUAGCCACCAGCCUACACCAGGGCCACAGCAACGCGUGAUCCGAGCCGAGUCUGCAACCUGCACUACAGCUCACGGCAACGCCGGAUCGUCAACCCACUGAGCAAGGGCAGGGACUGAACCCGCAACCUCAUGGUUCCUAGUCAGAUUCAUUAACCACUGCGCCACGACGGGAACUCCUGAAUUUGGACUUCUGAUGACUUCACAUCUCCAAGAACAACUAAUGAACUAUUAAUUUCAUGUAUUGAGAAACCAGAAUAAUUUUCCCCAAAGGGUACAUCUUAGAGUAGAAUGGAUUUAUCUACUGCCAGAAACCCAAGCUAUCCAGCAACCCCCAAAAGCCAGAUCAUUUCACAAAACAAACAAAUCCCAAUAAUCCUGCUCAGAGCUCAACUCUUGUUAGUAGUCGUGCCAUGAAUUUUGAUUGGGGUAGCUUCUCAAACUUGUUCUUAUAAAGAAGUUCAUACUUUUCACACUUGAAUAUGCAGCCAGUUGAACAUGGGUGUGGCCCUUCAUUGCAUGAGCAAAGGUUGAAAAUACCUGAACCAGCAGGAAUUUAAGGAGUGAGCCUUUUUUUGUUGUUGUUAUUUAGAGCAGCGGGUGAGAAUUUAUAGGCCAGCUGGUAAUAAUGUUGCCUAAAUGGUGGGCUAGUCCAGACCCAAAUCUUCAUCCAGGUUCAGAGAUGGGCAAUAAGAAUGACUUGAACAAUUUUAAGGUUACUUUGACCCAAUUAACAAACCUGCAAAUGAACAAUACAAGUGUGUGAAUGGAGAGGCCUCAGUAUCUCCUUUGUUCUUGAUGAAAGAGUACCCAAAGUCCAGAAGUCAACAUGGCAUGUUUCCAGUGAUGAAUCACCACAUAACUCCACCUCCUAGAGUCUUAUUAGCCUAGGAAAAAGGUCCUAUCAGCACGCAAGGGUUUAUUUUAUUAUUCACCUGAUAUAACUAUUUACUGAACACAUGUGCUAGGAGUUGUUCUAGGCACAUAGAAUACUUCAGCAAACAAAAGUCCUAGAUGUUGUUGAGCAUACUUUCUAGCAGUAGAAGCCAAUCAAUACAACUAAUAAGUAAAUUCUACAUUAUAUUAGAAGGUGGCUGCUAAGUGCUUUGGCAGAAAAAAUAGAGUGUAGAGAAAAAGAAGAGUUGGCAGGGAAGAGUUUCUGUUUUAAAUAUGGUGGUCAGGGUGGUAGAAUUAGUUUAAGUUGUGUGCAGUCUGUAGUUGCACAAGGUCCAUACUCAGAAGGGAUUGUACUGGGUUAGAUGCUUUGCUAACAUCAUCUUGAGAUUCUCAGUAAUUUUAUUUUUGAACUCAUGUUUUUGAAGUCUGAUGGGACAAUGCAGUAUGUAUAAGCAGAGAUGUGCACACUUUUCAUAUCUGGUAUGUCUGUUGAGAUUCUAAUUGAAACUGCAAUACAUUGGUAUUAAUUUGAGGAAAAUUCAGAAUUUUCUAUUAAGUUCUUUCCAUUCAAGAAGAUGGUAUGCUUUUCUAUCUGGUUUUAUGUCUUCCAAUGAUAUUUUAUAAAUCUUUUCUGUUUAGGGCCAGCACAUUUCUUUUGUAAUUUAUUUAAAUUCUGUUUUAAUUCAUAGCACUUUUUUGAGGGAGUGGGGGACAGUCAUUUUGAUUCAAGGCACAUCUUUUUUAUACUAAAAAUCAGAAUUUUUGGAGUUCCUAACAGCUCAGUGAGUUAAGGAUCCUGUGUUGUCACUGCAGUGGCUUGAGUCACUGUUGUGGAUGGGUUUGGUCCCUGGCCUAGGGACUUCUGCAUGCUGUGGACACAGCUCACUUCCUUCCCCCCCCCCCCCCCCAAAAAAAAAAAACCAGUAUUUUUGUCUUUUGACUUAAAAUCAUAGGAGAAGAGAGAAAGUUUUGGAGUAGGGAAAUAUACUACUAGAAACAAAAUAGUCUUUUUGUUUCCUGGCAUGUUGUUCCUGGCCAUCCUUUGCUUGCAAAUGUAUUCUCUUUGAGAUGCAUUGAAAUUUGAUAAAUAACUUCUUUCAGAGGAGAACAGAGGAAUCAGUGAGUCUCAAAGUUAGAGAAGUAGUGGGUAAGGAAAAGCCAUGAGAACAGACUGCUCUGUGUGGUUACUUACUGGGAUAGUCAUGGCUGUCAGCAAGACCAAAGGGAAGUAGCCAGAGAGGUCUGUGACCCCAUGGCCUCUUGUGUUGGUUCUACAUAUGUACCUUUGACACCAAUGGCCACUGAGAACUAAAUGUGAACAGCAGCACAAGCAGGGACCACAGGGGCUGAUGUGAUGUGUGGCCCAGGCCUGAUAAAUAUAAACCAAGGAAAAGGAAGCUCAUCCCAGAUCAAGAAGGCUGUAAAAUUUUAUUAUAAACCUCAAUGGACACAUUUAGUCAGCAGAAAUAUUUUCAGCAGCAGUGUAGAGUGUGCAGAUGCACAGAGAUGAAGCAGCUAGAUGAAAACGGGAAAAUCUGAAAAGCAGCAAUGGCAUCAGGGCAGAAAGAGGUGAACAUUCUAUGCUAACCUAACAAAUUAGCUGUGCACCAAAUGCACCACUUUAGUGGACACCCGCAGUCAUUUACUCUUAUGGAUGUAGUUUCUUACCAAUAAGGAAUUGAUAAAUGGCCAAUUCCUUGUAAACUUUCAUUUGCAGUAUUCAAGAGAGAUCUUCAUUCAGGUGUUAGAAGAGGGGAAAAAAAAAAAAAAAAAAAAGGAAUCUUUUGCAUCCAACUAAAGUUCAAGCUAUGACACUGAUUUCUAUUAGAACCCUUAACUGUCAGGCCCUGGUUUCAUUGAUCACUGCUGUUUUUAGGGUCUGGGAAGCUAGAGUGGAAGGCUGCUAUUUGGCAACACUAUCCAGAAUGGCAGUGGCACUCUUGAGCAUUCAGUUUUCAGCUGAGCAUUGUGAGAACCACAGGCAGGUCAAGAGUUAAGCAUGUCAAAUUGCAUACACAAAGUAAAAAAGAGGGAGAAAGAAAUGUUACCAGCAUAUUUUUAAACAAUAGACAUGAAAAUGUUAGCUCUUCUGGGUAUGGAAAAAAAUUUCCUUUUCAUACAUAUUGACAGCCAGAGAGGGUUAUUAUUGAGAAUAUGGGUAAAGUUACUGCCAGUUUCUACUGGUACUCGUAUUUAAAAAGAAACUAUGGAAACCAGGAGAAGGAAUAUUAAUUAAGUUCAAAUGUCUCUGCCAGGAGUGGAUGAAUGAAUUCAAUGAAGCAACCUGUUGGGUUGUAAUUCAGUGUUUUGUUAGCAAUUUAAUAGAAUGCAGAACUUGUCAUAAGUUAACACUAUGUUUUAAUAAUCUUAUUAAAAGGUUAUUUCUUGGUAAAAUUAGCCCCAGAAUGUGAUAUUGUUUUGAAUUUAAAGAACCAUUAUAUAUUUUCUUUCUUUUUCACAAUUUUAAAUAGCCACUGUCUUGGUUAUUAAUAAAAAUAUGUAACACAUUUAUGUGUUAAAAAGCACAAAAUAAUAUAGACAAAUGUGUCUUUUUCACUCUAGAAUGUCUCCCUGCAGCCCCUAAAUAACUAAAGAAACCUGUUAUUAGUUUCUUGUAUAUAGUUUAGAGAUAUUAUUUGCACAUCUCUAAUACACAUUCACAAAAUCUGUUGUUAUAACUCUUCAAAAGUUCCCUAUUAUACUUAUAUUCAAGGCCCUCUGAUGGUCACAUCUUUGGGGUAUUAUUCACUAAGAACACAUGCCUUCGAAAAAUAUUUUCUAAUAAUGAAAGUAGUAUGGAUGUCUGGAGAGGGUAACGCUAAUAAGAAAAUACAAAAUGAGAAAACUUAUUCACCUGAAUAAACCCAGAGAGUUUAUAAGUAAGGCUUCACUGGUCACUGCAGAGUUUAAAGGAAGUUUCCACUUUACAGUGUGAAUAUGUUGUGGUUGCCUUGGUCCUUAGACUAAUUUGCUUCUUUCUGGUGGGGAGGAUAGCAGUGUUGAGCAAACACUGACUCAACCGAAAAUCAGUUCUAUUUAAAUGUGAAGCUGUGUUCUAAACACAAGCAGAGUCUGCUGAAGGGCUCUAAACAUUAAGCUGCAUGCCUUGCUGAGUUUUAUUCCAAAUAGACAACAGCAGAUGGUAACAAUGCACUUCUCAUAGAUGGUAGGAGGGAGGCAGUCUUGUUUCAAGUAAUACUAUUUCUGGGCGAUAAUCCAAAAUGCGCAGUAGGCAGAAGUUAAAAGGAAGCGCUUGCUUUUAGGUUUUUAAAAUAUAUCCCUUAAUCCUGGGUGAUGAUUGACAAUCAUGAUUUAGAGUAUGAGGGGCCUCUCUUUAAUCUGGCAAGUUUGAUGUUAUUUGCGUAUCUAGUAGGGCUUUUAUUCAACUAAAACUAAGUGGAAGCCUGUGCAAUUGAUGCCUCAUUUCAGAAUUGAUUCCUGGCCUGGUACUCUAUUUACAGAUUAGUAAGUACACAGGAUCCGUCCUCCUCCUCAUCUUUUUGAAAUUUAAAGGCUCUAAAAGGCACAUUUACAAUUAAAAUGUUUCUUGCUGUGUACAACUAUGACCAGGAGAUGACUUUUUUCCCUAGAAUUUAAUUUCUUGAGAAAAGAAGCAGUCUGUGAGAUUAUAAUUCUGAUUUGAUUCUUAAAAUAUAGUAUUAGCCAUUGGCAUUUACAAAUGAUAACAAAUGUUGUUAUUCCUGCCUUCGUGUUGUUUUUCAAGAGUUCUUGGGAGAAAUUUUAGUGAAUUACCUCCAAGACUCCUGUUCCUAUUAAAGGGUUUCUAGGGAAUCUUUUGUAACAAAAAGAUCAAUGUUCAGCCUUUGUAUUCCUGUUAUUUUAUCAUUUUUGACGAUAAAUUUAUUUAAAAGUGCACAUUAUUAAAAUAUAAUUAAGUUAUAAACUUCAAAAGCAAGAUAUAGCUAAGGAAAGGAAGUGUAUGGGAAUAAAAUUUAACAGAUGAAUUUGACAACAGUAACAAUAACAAGUGGUCUUCAUGGAGGCACUUAAGCUCUGAUGUUAAUGUCUCUGUCACAAUUGUGUUAAACAAAGCAAAAUGGCUUAUGAGAAGGAAGAGAGAGCUAUACAUGAAGCCCAAGUGAUUUAGUAUUUGACCUGUGUUCUCAUUAUGAUGUUUUUAGUUAUAUAAUUUGGUGAGAUUUUUUAAGAAGUAAAACAUUCAUUACAGAAAAUUUGGAGAAUACAGGAAAGUAUAAAAAGAAAAUAAACAUUACCCUCAACCCUAAUUUUUUCACAGGCAGUCACUGGCUUGUGAAGUCAUCAGUUUUCUCCCCUUAUCUUGCUUUAAUCCAUAUUUAAGGGCUAAAAUAUACCUCUCACACCCAUCCUGGCUGCUGGGAGGGUGUGGAAGUGUUUAGGAAGGGUCCCUUGCAGCUUCUGGAGUGGGAGUACGUGACGCAAAUUGCUACAGGUUUGGUCUGUUUUGUAGCUGCAUUAGCGGAGCUUUCUUCCCAUAGAAGCCCCAGUAAUGGGAACCUUUGUGUUUGGAAUAUAUUCUAACCUAAUAGGUGAAUGUUGAUAAUACUUCUUUCUAUUAACAUUUCAAAAGCUCAUUUUUGCUGUGGAAUCAUGUGUUUGAUAUUUAAAGUCUAAUAAAAUAAAUCCAAGUGA
rnacentral:lncRNA from 1 species